UGGUCAAGUUAUUAAGGGUGCAGGGCGGAUGCCUUGGCACUAGGAGUCGAUGAAUGACGUGAUAAGCUGCGAUAAGCUUCGGGGAGUUGCACGUAAACUUUGAUCCGAAGAUUUCCGAAUGAGGAAACUCACUUAGAGUAAUGUCUAAGUAUCAUUAAGUGAAUACAUAGCUUAAUGAGGGGAACUCAGGGAACUGAAACAUCUAAGUACCUGAAGGAAGAGAAAGAAAUUCGAUUCCGUAAGUAGCGGCGAGCGAACGCGGAUUAGCCCAAACCAAUAAAGUUUUCUUUAUUGGGGUU
rnacentral:rRNA from 1 species